UGGCUCAGAUUGAACGCUGGCGGCAGGCCUAACACAUGCAAGUCGAGCGGAAACGAUGGAGCUUGCUCCAGGCGUCGAGCGGCGGACGGGUGAGUAAUGCAUAGGAAUCUGCCCGGUAGUGGGGGAUAACCUGGGGAAACCCAGGCUAAUACCGCAUACGUCCUACGGGAGAAAGCAGGGGAUCUUCGGACCUUGCGCUAUCGGAUGAGCCUAUGUCGGAUUAGCUUGUUGGUGAGGUAAUGGCUCACCAAGGCGACGAUCCGUAGCUGGUCUGAGAGGAUGAUCAGCCACAUCGGGACUGAGACACGGCCCGAACUCCUACGGGAGGCAGCAGUGGGGAAUAUUGGACAAUGGGCGAAAGCCUGAUCCAGCCAUGCCGCGUGUGUGAAGAAGGCUUUCGGGUUGUAAAGCACUUUCAGUGAGGAAGAGAGCCUUGGGGCUAAUACCCCCGAGGAAGGACAUCACUCACAGAAGAAGC
rnacentral:rRNA from 1 species